GAAAACGCUUGAUUUUCAAUUAAAUUGACGAUUCUCAAAGAGAAAACGAGAGAUUACCACUUAAAUGGGGGUUUUGCGAAGGGAAAACGUGUGAUUUCUGGUUAAAUGGGGGAUUUCUGAAGAGAAAACUCGUGGUUUUUUGUGUUAAUUGGGGGAUUUGCGAAGAGAAAACGCGUGACUUUCGCUUAAAUGUGGGAUUUGAGAAAACACGUGAUUUUUGCUUAAAUGUUGGAUUCUCGAAGAGAAAACGCGUGAUUUUCGCUUAAAUGGGGGAUUUCUGAAAAGAAAACGCGUGAUUUUCGCUUAAAUGUUGGAUUCUCGAAGAGAAAACGCGUGAUUUUCGCUUAAAUGGGGGAUUUCUGAAAAGAAAACGCGUGAUUUUCGGGUUAAAUGGAUGAUUCCUGAGGAGAAAAUGCGUGUUUUUUGCUUAAACGGCGGAUUUGUGAAGAGAAAAUGCGUGUUUUUUGCUUAAAUGGGGGAUUUGCGAAGAGAAAACGCGUGGUUUUCGGGUUAAAUGGAAGAUUCCUGAAGAGAAAACGCGUGAUUUUUGCUUAAAUGGGGGAUUUCUGAAGAGAAAACGCGUGAUUUUCAGGUUAAAUGGGAAAUUUUCGAAGAGAAAACGCGUGUUUUUCGCUUAAAUGGGGGAUUUGUGAAGAGAAAACGCGUGAUUUUCAGGUUUAAUGGAAGAUUCCUGAAGAGAAAACGCGUGAUUUUCAAGUUAAAUGGGGGAUGUCCGAAGAGAAAACGCGUGAUUUUCGCUGAAAUGGGGUAUUUGAGAAGAGAAAAUUCGUGAUUUUCGC
ensembl:lncRNA